rnacentral:rRNA from 1 species
CCUACGGGAGGCUGCAGUGGGGAAUAUUGGACAAUGGGGAGAACCCUGAUCCAGCCAUGCCGCGUGUGUGAAGAAGGCCCUCGGGUUGUAAAGCACUUUCAGUGAGGAAGAACGCCUGGUGGUUAAUACCCAUCAGGAAAGACAUCACUCACAGAAGAAGCACCGGCUAACUCCGUGCCAGCAGCCGCGGUAAUACGGAGGGUGCGAGCGUUAAUCGGAAUUACUGGGCGUAAAGCGCGCGUAGGUGGCUUGAUAAGCCGGUUGUGAAAGCCCCGGGCUCAACCUGGGAACGGCAUCCGGAACUGUCAAGCUAGAGUGCAGGAGAGGAAGGUAGAAUUCCCGGUGUAGCGGUGAAAUGCGUAGAGAUCGGGAGGAAUACCAGUGGCGAAGGCGGCCUUCUGGACUGACACUGACACUGAGGUGCGAAAGCGUGGGUAGCAAACAGGAUUAGAUACCCGGGUAGUC